UUCUUGCAGUGGAACCCCUUUGAACAUGAGGAGCAAGAGUUCUUCCACUGAGCUCUAACCCAGCCCGAUGUUAAAUCUUAAAAUUGACUGAAAUCAAGAAACUGCACAUCAGGUUGCAGGAUCCGCACUCAGAUGCUACCCCAGCAGCAGAGCCCUGGCUCUAGCCCAUGACCACCAGCAGAGACAGCCA